CUUUUGUUUAUUAGCUCCUUAGCAGCAGUCUGGCAGAAUGACAAAACAACGCAUAAUUUAUCUUAGCUUGGUGCUGCAGCAAGCAGAAGGAAGACUGUGACUGCAGGGGUGGAGUAAGAGUGACAAUGGGCAAGGUCUGGAGGGCUUCUGUCUGCCUCUGCUUCUAUCUGAGUGGUACUUCUGAAGGCAUUCCCAGGUUCUGAGAUGGAGAGCCCUCUGAUUAGCUGAUGAUCUCACUUGGAAGUGCUCCCUGGAGCUGCUCUGAGACUCAGGCUGGGACUUGAGUUGCUGGACCCCAAAGAGCUGCCACUGCCCAGCCUGGACACCAGCUUCUCCACUCUGUCCCACAGGAGGCUGGGCUUGAUAAUGCUGGUGGACUUUCUCUGUCCUACUUGGUUAUUUUGCUGCCCACCACCCUGAAGUGGGGGAUCUCUACCAACUGGACAUGGGAAGAUGUUCUCACAGGUGUCCCGAGGGCUGGGUCAGCAGGCUCACAGUGGGGCUUGGGCUGGAGGGGAAUGUGAAAGCCAGGCCUUCUCUGCAACUGCUACUUGCAGAAACAAGGCUGCUCUUGGUCUGGCAGAAACAAGGCAGAAAUGCUGCUCCAGGUCUCUUUUCUUUCUCUGCCCGACUCCUCUCUUCUUUGCUCCUUCUCUCCAGAUGCCUCUUCCUGUUCUCUCCUUCGCUGCUCCUGUUUCUGCUGCCUUUUAGGUUCACUCUCUCUUUUGUUGCCCCUGCUGUUGCUUGGAGCUUCUGUACUCUUGCUCCUGGAGCUGUUGCUCCUGCAGCCUUGGCUGUCUCCGCAGAACCUGAGCAUGCUCCUUGUUCACCUGCUGCAGUUGCAGAGUGGCCACCUGGGCACUUUGACAAUGGGAGGUUGGCUCUCCUUCCUGCUCAGGCCCUUCCUCCUCUUCCUCCUCACUCCUACUAUACUCAUACUUAGUUUCAUCUUUUUCUCUUCUCUUCAGUUUGGUCUGGUCUGUAUGGUCCUUAAGCUGGAUGUGAACUUGCCUUUCAUUUGGCUGAUUCCUUAUAAAAAGAUGACUCAAAAGCUGCUUAAUGGCGGGUGUUGUGUGUAAUUCUUCACCAGGGACCCUUCUAUAAAAGUAGAAAACUUCUUUGACCAUAUUUUGGACCUCAGCCUAGAGGAGG
ensembl:lncRNA